AGUAAAGAGACACGAUGACGUGAACAACCACAGCCCCUUCUUGUCGUUGUUUCUCAUCAAACAGGUCAUGUGGAAAGUCCUCAAUUGCCGGUGGUGUACAAUUAACCCCUAGAGUAUUUGGAUAAAUAUAUAAAUUACGUUAAGGGAAGAGAGAGGACACUAUUAAAUUCUUAAUAGGUUGACGCAUGGCCUGGAGGCGCAAAGCGUGCUAAUAAUCUUCCACCGAGUUCGCGGUGACCCAGAAAAUCCUUAAGCUCAAGAGAGUAAAGACAUUUAUAGACAGACAACUUGAAUUGUUAAUGUGAAGGUGGUGAGUGCAAAGUUUCUAUACCUAUGUGGCGACUGAUGUGACUUCCUACCGAUUAAGCAACCUAAAGAAGUUAAAUUGCUCUCAUUCAACUGAGCAGAGUAGAUGCCAUUCAUGUCUAAUGUACGUCGUAUAAACUGGGUAUAACACGACUCAACAACUUGGUUAGACCGACCACGACGUCUUGCUUGAUCCAAAG